GUUUACCUACGGGGGGCAGCAGUGAGGAAUAUUGGUCAAUGGGCGGGAGCCUGAACCAGCCAAGUCGCGUGAGGGAAGACGGUCCUAUGGAUUGUAAACCUCUUUAGGCGGGGAGCAAUGCCGGGCACGCGUGCCCGGAGGGAGAGUACCCGCAGAAUAAGCAUCGGCUAACUCCGUGCCAGCAGCCGCGGUAAUACGGAGGAUGCAAGCGUUGUCCGGAUUUAUUGGGCGUAAAGCGAGUGCAGGCGGUUCAAUAAGUCU
rnacentral:rRNA from 1 species